UUCAAACUUUGAGCUUAACUAAAAAUCAUACGAUUAUAUCAAUGGCAAGUGCUGGAUAUAAAAUCUAUACACAAGUCUCUAAAAUUUUUUGUUUGUCAUUUUGAUGAAAUAUAAGGAAAAAACAAAUUCUCCGGAUAUUAUGUAUACAUCAGUAAUACGAAUAAGUAAUUUUGUUAAAAUCUUCCAAAUUAAAUGGCCCAACUACUCGUAUAAGACGCAUUUGCAUAAUAAACAAAAGUUGACAUCAUUUGGUGGGCCCAGCAUCGAAAUUUAGUAAGAGCUAUAAUCAAAUGAUUAUUCAAAGCCCUUCACCUUUCGGCGUAGGUGGGCUUAAAAGAUAGAUCGUAUCUCAACUGAGAUUUAUAACUUGUUGCCAAGCUUUUAAGUUAAACAAUGUCGCUUUUCUUUCACUUAUAAUUGACUUUAAGUGAAAAACUGUACAACAAUUGUUUACGAAAGUUGACAAUUGUUUUGAGCAUCAAUUCCCAGACAUUAAACGAAAAGUUUUCGUCGCACCCUUUGUUAAUUUUUAAAAAGUUUUCGCAUUAAUAACGCUGCAACUUUAAAUUGAUAAUAAACAAAAUAAAUUCCAGAUCGUGAUGAUUAUAUUUGACGACAAAAUUAAAUAUCAAAAAAUAUUAGUUAAAUUGGUUUGAUUUUUAUUGGUUUUAUUUAUGCAACAUCGAAUUACAUAACCAACUUAACAGUAAUUUGCGUAACAUUUGCAUCUCCCCCCUACGAAAAGAGACAAGAGACAGAAAUUUCAAUCAAAACGAAAUGCACAAGACCAUAACAUCGAGAUAGGUCCAGUGUCCAAAUAUUGGACUCCAAAAAUCUUCGACUCGACCCCGUUGGCUAAUUGGCUGAAGCUGUAGCUGAAGUUGCCGCAUGGGGAGCACUGAUAAUCGUGAUCGUGUCAUCGAUAAACAGAGGCAAAAACAAACGUUGAAUGUGCCGAAACAAGCAAAUUGAAUGCCGAACAAGGAAAAAGUUACCGCAUUCACUCUGAUUUGAACCUGUAUUUAAUAUCCCAAAAUCGGAAUAGCUAUUAAAUUAUAUGGAGUUUUUUACUCCUAC